UACGUAGGGGGCGAGCGUUGUCCGGAAUCAUUGGGCGUAAAGAGCGUGUAGGCGGCUUGGCAAGUCUUGCGUGAAAUCCUGCGGCUCAACCUCGAGACGCCGAUGGAAACCCCCUGGCUAGAGUCCGGAAGAGGAGAAUGGAAUUCCUGGUGUAGCGGUGAAAUGCGCAGAUAUCAGGAAGAACACCCGUGGCUAAGGCGGUUCUCUAGUACGGUACUGACGCUGAGACGCGAAAGCGUGGGGAGCGAACAGG
rnacentral:rRNA from 1 species